rnacentral:rRNA from 1 species
GAUGAACGCUGGCGGCGUGCCUAAUACAUGCAAGUCGAGCGAACGGACGAGAAGCUUGCUUUUCUGAUGUUAGCGGCGGACGGGUGAGUAACACGUGGAUAACCUACCUAUAAGACUGGGAUAACUUCGGGAAACCGGAGCUAAUACCGGAUAAUAUUUUGAACCGCAUGGUUCAAAAGUGAAAGACGGUCUUGCUGUCACUUAUAGAUGGAUCCGCGCUGCAUUAGCUAGUUGGUAAGGUAACGGCUUACCAAGGCAACGAUGCAUAGCCGACCUGAGAGGGUGAUCGGCCACACUGGAACUGAGACACGGUCCAGACUCCUACGGGAGGCAGCAGUAGGGAAUCUUACGCAAUGGGCGAAAGCCUGACGGAGCAACGCCGCGUGAGUGAUGAAGGUCUUCGGAUCGUAAAACGCUGUUAUUAGGGAAGAACAUAUGUGUAAGUAACUGUGCACAUCUUGACGGUACCUAAUCAGAAAGCCACGGCUAACUACGUG